AGAUAUGAGGGCAAUAUGGCUGUGACAUCUGUCACCUCACUGAUAACCGUGGUUGAUUCAGCUGAUCUGGCUGGCUAGACAAAUGUCCUCCCACUCCCUUACUGUCCCACAUGUUCCCUUCCAAAGCUGCAUGCCUCAUUGAAGACGACCUUCACCCACAGAGGAAGACUGUCCUCUAGUCAAGAGUAUACACAUAGCCACAGUCCCCUGCAAGGAUCUCCACAUAGACCCUCAAGGCCAAACUCUGACCAUGUCAGCCUUGCAGGAACCCAUGACAUGACUUUGUGCUAACAGCUCCCAAAAUGCACAUGAUUGCAUCUUGG
ensembl:misc_RNA predicted gene, 23183